CACGUAGGGGGCAAGCGUUGUCCGGAUUUAUUGGGCGUAAAGAGCUCGUAGGCGGCUCAGUAAGUCAGGUGUGAAACCUCCAGGCUCAACCUGGAGACGCCACCUGAUACUGCUGUGGCUAGAGUCCGGUAGGGGAGCGUGGAAUUCCUGGUGUAGCGGUGAAAUGCGCAGAUAUCAGGAGGAACACCAGCGGCGAAGGCGGCAUCCUGGACCGAGAUUGACACUGAUGAGCGAAAGCUAGGGGAGCAAACGGG
rnacentral:rRNA from 1 species